AAAACAUCUGGACCGUCGGUCUACCGAGCAAUAUAACCCGCUCUGUGGAAGAUCUUCCC
rnacentral:pre_miRNA from 1 species